UAGAGUUUGAUCAUGGCUCAGAUUGAACGCUGGCGGCAUGCCUAACACAUGCAAGUCGAACGGAAACGAUGCUAGCUUGCUAGCAGGCGUCGAGUGGCGGACGGGUGAGUAAUGCAUAGGAAUCUACCUAGUAGUGGGGGACAACCUGGUGAAAACCAGGCUAAUACCGCAUAAUCCCUACGGGGCAAAGCAGGGGACCUUCGGGCCUUGCGCUAAUAGAUGAGCCUAUGUCGGAUUAGCUUGUUGGUGAGGUAAUGGCUCACCAAGGCGACGAUCCGUAGCUGGUCUGAGAGGAUGAUCAGCCACACUGGGACUGAGACACGGCCCAGACUCCUACGGGAGGCAGCAGUGGGGAAUAUUGCACAAUGGGUGCAAGCCUGAUGCAGCAAUGCCGCGUGUGUGAAGAAGGCCUUAGGGUUGUAAAGCACUUUCAGUAGGGAGGAAAAGUUCAAGGCUAAUA
rnacentral:rRNA from 1 species